rnacentral:rRNA from 1 species
GAGUUUGAUCUUGGCUCAGAACGAACGCUGGCGGCAUGCCUAACACAUGCAAGUCGAACGAAGGCUUCGGCCUUAGUGGCGCACGGGUGCGUAACGCGUGGGAAUCUGCCCUUUGCUUCGGAAUAACAGUGGGAAACUACUGCUAAUACCGGAUGAUGUCUUCGGACCAAAGAUUUAUCGGCAAGGGAUGAGCCCGCGUAGGAUUAGGUAGUUGGUGGGGUAAAGGCCUACCAAGCCGACGAUCCUUAGCUGGUCUGAGAGGAUGAUCAGCCACACUGGGACUGAGACACGGCCCAGACUCCUACGGGAGGCAGCAGUGGGGAAUAUUGGACAAUGGGGGGAACCCUGAUCCAGCAAUGCCGCGUGAGUGAUGAAGGCCUUAGGGUUGUAAAGCUCUUUUACCAGGAAUGAUAAUGACAGUACCUGGAGAAUAAGCUCCGGCUAACUCCGUGCCAGCAGCCGCCGCGGUAAC